rnacentral:rRNA from 1 species
AACGCUAGCGGCAGGCCUAAUACAUGCAAGUCGAACGGUAACAUUGGUGCUUGCACCAGAUGACGAGUGGCGCACGGGUGCGUAACGCGUAUGCAAUCUACCUUUUACUAGAGUAUAGCCCAGAGAAAUUUGGAUUAAUCCUCUAUAAUAUCUUUUAAUUUCAUGAUUUUAAGAUUAAAGUUUUAACGGUAAAAGAUGAGCAUGCGUCCUAUUAGUUUGUAGGUGAGGUAACGGCUCACCUAGACUACGAUAGGUAGGGGCCCUGAGAGGGGGAUCCCCCACACUGGUACUGAGACACGGACCAGACUCCUACGGGAGGCAGCAGUAAGGAAUAUUGGACAAUGGACGAAAGUCUGAUCCAGCCAUGCCGCGUGCAGGAUGAAAGCCCUAUGGGUUGUAAACUGCUUUUAUACAGGAAGAAACACUCCGACGUGUCGGAGCUUGACGGUACUGUAAGAAUAAGGAUCGG